UACGUAGGGUGCAAGCGUUGUCCGGAAUUAUUGGGCGUAAAGAGCUCGUAGGCGGUUUGUCGCGUCUGCUGUGAAAACUCGGGGCUUAACCCCGGGCCUGCAGUGGGUACGGGCAGACUAGAGUGCGGUAGGGGAGACUGGAAUUCCUGGUGUAGCGGUGAAAUGCGUAGAUAUCGUAAGGAAGACCAGUGGCGAAGGCGGGUCUCUGGACAGUUCCUGACGCUGAGACGAAGGCCAGGGGAGCAAACGGG
rnacentral:rRNA from 1 species